AUAACUCGUCAGUGAAGUGUGACAGGAUGAAGUCUCAAAAGGUUCGCAGACGCCCCGAGUCUUGCCACUCUUAUCACGCGCAGGAGAACGCCGAUGACUGUGGAGGAGCCUCUUUUAUAUCUCCGUCAACCUCUGUUUUCUUCAUGUGUCUCGUUUUUGCUGCACUUGUUUCCCGAUGACGGAUAACUUCGCUCUUUUACGCUUCAUCAUAUAAAGGAAAGGAUGACAAAAACUGAAAUCCUUGAGUGGCUUUUUUUUUUAACUACUGAACAGAUUCUGCACAUUUUGCUCACAAAGGCGACAGACGCAAUCUCUCUUGAAGGACCUUGGAUGUUAUGAGCAUUUGCUGGUUAACUCCAGAGAAUUACAUUUGAACUAAAAGCUGCAAAAAAGAGAACUUGCUGUACUGUUGUUGCCAUGGAUACUUUUUUUCAUUUGUUAUUUUCUUAUGCUCCACAUUGUAUCUCUGAACGAAAAGGGACUGAAGGGUGACGGCUAGCUGUGAUGGGUGUUAAUGAAUAAGAAUUAAGGAUUCACACGGUACAACAUGAAAAAGUGAAAAGAGAAAAACAUGCAUUAUUCACUUCCCAUAUUCCAAUGAGCUGCAUAUUUAUCCACACACAUGCAUAUUAUAUAUGCGUUGGAUACAUCCAGUAAACACAUCUAAUGCAUUAUCUGCAGACUUUAUAAAUGCAGAAUAGCCAGUGAGAAGUGGCCUGCAGUAGGGCGAUAUAGGGAGACACUGUUGUGUUGCUAAUGAGUCAUGUUAAUAAUGGACAAGUUGACACUGGAUAAGGUAAAGUAGGCACAAUUGGACUCGAUGGCUAAUUAUCUGUGUAAAAUGAAUAUGCAAUAAAGUAAAAUAGAAUGGAGUUGUCAGCCUCUACGGGAACUAUGUUUUCACUUUUUAUUUCCAUCCUAUAAAUGUAUGUUUCUGUGACUAUUAUUUUUACAUAUCUGUCUGCCUUUUUUUGUCUUUUGUCUCUCUGUACAUACCAUAACUAAUUAUGUAUGUCUGGCUAAUGGGCUGUAAAUGCUGAAAUGAUAAAUGAGCUGAAGAUCGUCACACUCUAAAAAGGGAAUAUCUAACUUUUCACAUUAAAACAAUGCAUACAUGCAUUUGCAAUGUAUUUGGCACCAAGGAUUUACAUUUUUGAAAAAUUAUACAAAUGUUUUUGCAAUUAAAAAAUAUUUAUAGUUUUUUUUAAUAUGGUUUAUGAACGCUCUUCUUAAGGCUUUUUUUCUUCAUUUAAAAUGUAACUUUUAUAGCAAUGCUCGCUAUUAUAGCUCAGUCACUAAAAAUAAA
ensembl:lncRNA